rnacentral:rRNA from 1 species
CGGACGGGUGAGUAACGCGUGGAAAACCUGCCGUAUACUGGGGGAUAACACUUAGAAAUAGGUGCUAAUACCGCAUAAGCGCACAGCUUCGCAUGAAGCGGUGUGAAAAACUCUGGUGGUAUACGAUGGUUCCGCGUCUGAUUAGCUAGUUGGUGGGGUAAUGGCCUACCAAGGCAACGAUCAGUAGCCGGCCUGAGAGGGUGAACGGCCACAUUGGGACUGAGACACGGACCAGACUCCUACGGAAGGCAGCAG